rnacentral:pre_miRNA from 1 species
CGGGUGGAUCACGAUGCAAUUUUGAUUAGUAAGGUAGGAGAAAAAUUGCACGGUAUCCAUCUGGA